rnacentral:rRNA from 1 species
UGGGGAAUAUUGGGCAAUGGGCGGAAGCCUGACCCAGCAACGCCGCGUGAAGGAAGAAGGCUUUCGGGUUGUAAACUUCUUUUCUCAGGGACGAAGCAAGUGACGGUACCUGAGGAAUAAGCCACGGCUAACUACGUGCCAGCAGCCGCGGUGAUACGUAGGUGGCAAGCGUUAUCCGGAUUUACUGGGUGUAAAGGGCGUGUAGGCGGGAAAGCAAGUCAGAUGUGAAAACCAUGGGCUCAACCCAUGGCCUGCAUUUGAAACUGUUUUUCUUGAGUACUGGAGAGGCAGACGGAAUUCCUAGUGUAGCGGUGAAAUGCGUAGAUAUUAGGAGGAACACCAGUGGCGAAGGCGGUCUGCUGGACAGCAACUGACGCUGAGGCGCGAAAGCGUGGGGAGCAAACAGGAUUAGAUACCC